rnacentral:tRNA from 1 species
AGUACUUGGCUACGAACCAAGGGGUCGUGGGUUCGAAUCCUGCCAGCCGCGCCA